CCUGCCCACUGAAAAUUUUUAAAUGGCCGCAGUAAUUUGACUGUGCAAAGGUAGCAUAAUCAUUAGUUUUUUAAUUGAAAGCUUGUAUGAAAGGUUGGACGAAAUAAAAUCUGUCUCUAUUUAAUUUAUAUUAGAAUUUAAUUUUUAAGUUAAAAAGCUUAAAUUUUAGUAAAAGACGAGAAGACCCUAUAGAUCUUUAUAUUUAUUUAUGUAAUUAGGAUUAAGAAUUUUUAUUUUUUUUAUAUAAUUAAUUAUUUUAUUGGGGUAAUAAAUAGAUUUAAUUAAUUCUUUUUUUUUUUUUUCAUUUAUUUAUGUAUAUAUGAUCCAAUUUUUUUGAUUAUAAGAUUAAGUUACCUUAGGGAUAACAGCGUAAUUUUUUUAGAGAGUUCAUAUCGAUAAAAAAGUUUGCGACCUCGAUGUUGGAUUAAAAAUUAUCU
rnacentral:rRNA from 1 species